GACGAACGCUGGCGGCGUGCUUAACACAUGCAAGUCGAACGGAAAGGCCCUGCUUGCAGGGUACUCGAGUGGCGAACGGGUGAGUAACACGUGGGUGAUCUGCCCUGCACUUCGGGAUAAGCCUGGGAAACUGGGUCUAAUACCGGAUAGGAGCCAUUUUUAGUGUGAUGGUUGGAAAGUUUUUUCGGUGUAGGAUGAGCUCGCGGCCUAUCAGCUUGUUGGUGGGGUAAUGGCCUACCAAGGCGGCGACGGGUAGCCGGCCUGAGAGGGUGGACGGCCACAUUGGGACUGAGAUACGGCCCAGACUCCUACGGGAGGCAGCAGGGGGGAAUAUUGCACAAUGGGCGCAAGCCUGAUGCAGCGACGCCGCGGGGGGGAGGACGGCCUUCGGGUUGUAAACGCCUUUCGCUAGGGACGAAGCUUUUUGUGACGGUACCUAGAUAAGAAGCACCGGCUAACUACGUG
rnacentral:rRNA from 1 species